GCGUGGAAGGGGAGAGGCAGCACCUGUGGAGUGUGGAGUUCCGGAGUUUGGAGGCAGUGUUCCAGAGGUUUCCCUUACCAUGCAGAAGACACUUGAAUGUCAAGGACUCUCCCUCCAUCCGAAGCCCUUUUCUGCAGGAGUCAAGACUGCCAGACCAAGGUGAGGCACUGUUCCAAUACGUCUGUUCUACCUGGGGAACGGAUGUUACCGAAAGCAAUUCCGAGGGAGAGCUGCCUUGUAGCAGUGAAGCCAGGUGUUAACAACUCUUCCUGCCCCUCCCACAGUAAGGCACGUGGGAUCUUAGCUCCGUGACCAGGGAUGGAACCCGUACCCCCCGCAUUGGAAGGUGAAGUCUAAACCACUGGAUCACCAGGGAAGUCCCAAUAGAUCUGAAUCCAGUAAUUCUUUCAGUCUCUGAUAUUCUUUCUUUACCUCCAAAACACAUAUAUAUCUUCAUCCUUCUACUUAUUUAUUUAUUUAUUUUUUGCGGUACGUGGGCCUCUCACUGUCGUGGCCUCUCCCGUUGCGGAGCACAGGCUCCGGACGCGCAGGCCCA